AGGGAAAGGCUCAAAUUUAAAAUCUGGCAGCUUCGCUGUCCGAGUUGUAAUUUAGAGAAGUGUUACCCGCGUUGGACCGUGUACAAGUCUCCUGGAACGGAGCGUCAUAGAGGGUGAGAAUCCCGUCUUUGACACGGACUACCAAGGCUUUGUGGUACGCUCUCGAA
rnacentral:rRNA from 1 species